rnacentral:rRNA from 1 species
AUCGAUAAUNCACGUUAAANNUCACUUUAAUAUAAAAUUUAUAUACCGCCAUCCCAAGAAUUAAUUUAAAAUACUUCUCCUAAAAAAAACUAAAAAGUUAGGUCAAGGUGUAAUUAACAUUAAAGAACUUUAUGAGUUACAAUAAAUAAAAUUUAAAGACUAUAAAAACACACUUUAUUCAAAUUAGAAUUUAAAAGUAAUAUUUAAAUAAUAAUAUAAUAUGAUUAAGAUAAUAAAUGUGCACACAUCGCCC